UGUAAAAGUUAGAUUCUCAAUUUUAUAAUCCACCACUAACUGAAAUUAGGUCAGAAAUAGAUCAAAGAGAAUCUUCAACUAAAACAUUUAUAUGAAUUUCAUAUUGUGUGAAAACAUUUCAAAUCCUCCGGAUUUUUAUUUCACUACAUGUGGUAUUUUUUUUAUUUUUACACUUACUGCAAAUAUGCUGAAAUACUUAUGUUAUUGAAAAUGGGUCGUCUAUCUUAACAGGUUUCAAAUCUGUUUAACAGGUUUUAAUCUGUUGCCAACACUAGUCGUAGCAUGCAAUAGGCUGAGCUCCGACAACAGUCCUGGGUGGAUUACUGUAAUGAAGGCU
rnacentral:lncRNA from 1 species